CAAUAGCGUAUAUUUAAGUUGUUGCAGUUAAAAAGCUCGUAGUUGGAUUUCGGUUGAGAACGGCCGGUCCGCCGUUUGGUGUGCACUGGCUGGUCUCAACUUCCUGUAGAGGACGCGCUCUGGGUUAACGCUCGGACGCGGAGUCUACGUGGUUACUUUGAAAAAAUUUAGAGUAGUUCAAAAGCGGGCUUACGCUUGAAUAUUUCAGCAUGGAAUAACACUAUAGGACUCCUGUCCUAUUUCGUUGGUCUCGGGACGGGAGUAAUGAUUAAGAGGAACAGUUGGGGGCAUUCGGUAUUUCAUUGUCAGAGGUGAAAUUCUUGGAUUUAUGAAAGACGAAACUUCUGCGAAAGCAUUUGCCAAGGAUGUUUUCAUUUAAUCAAGAACGAAAGUUGGGGGACUCGGAAGAUGAUUAGAUACCAU
rnacentral:rRNA from 1 species